UCCCAGACUCCUACGGGAGGCAGCAGUGAGGAAUAUUGGUCAAUGGUCGGGAGACUGAACCAGCCAAGCCGCGUGAGGGAUGAAGGUACAGAGUAUCGUAAACCUCUUUUGUCAGGGAACAAAGGCGGGGACGUGUCCCCGGAUGAGUGUACCUGAAGAAAAAGCAUCGGCUAACUCCGUGCCAGCAGCCGCGGUAAUACGGAGGAUACGAGCGUUUUCCGGUGUUAUUGGGGUUAGAGGGGUCGGCGGGGGCUCUGCAAGGCCGGCGUGAAAGCCCGGGGCCCCACCGCGGGCCCGCCGUUGAAACUGGCAGUCUCGAGUUGGAGAGAAGUAUGCGGAAUGCGCGGUGUAGCGGUGAAAUGCAUAGAUAUCGCGCAGAACUCCGAUUGCGAAGGCAGCAUGCCGGCUCCACGCUGACGCUGAGGCACGAAAGCGUGGGUAUCGAACAGGAUUAGAUACCCCAGUAG
rnacentral:rRNA from 1 species